AACAAGAUCAUCCACACAAUUCAUUGCCAGGCUAUUUCGUCUAGAAUUGGGUUGGAAGCUUCAAGGGUGUCUGAAAUGCUCCAGCAAUUGAUGAGAUGAUCAGUUUAUAUUUUAUUGGAAAAAUUUAUAAUCAGAAUACCUUGAUAAAAAAAUUUAAAUAGAUUUUAAGAUGAGUGUGAUAUGUAGAUAGUUAAUAUUAUAUUUAUCUUAAAAUAAAUUUAAAAUUUUGUGAUU